GCACAAGCAGCGGAGCGUGUGGUUUAAUUCGAUGCUACACGAAGAACCUUACCAGGGUUUGACAUACAAGUAGUAGGGAAAGGAAACUGGACCGACCCUUCGGGGAGCUUGUACAGGUGCUGCAUGGCUGUCGUCAGCUCGUGUCGUGAGAUGUUCGGUUAAGUCCGCUAACGAGCGCAACCCUCGCUGUGUGUUACAAGUGUCACACGGAACUGCCGGUCACAAACCGGAGGAAGGUGGGAUGACGUCAAGUCAGCAUGGCCUUUAUAUCCUGGGCUACACACACGCUACAAUGGGAAGGGACAAUAGGUUGCGAAGCCGCGAGGCGGAGCCAAUCCAGCAAAACUUCCCUCAGUCCAGACUGCAGGCUGCAACUCGCCUGCAUGAAGUUGGAGUUGCUAGUAAACGCAGGUCAGCCAUACUGCGUUGAAUACGUUCCCGGGGCUU
rnacentral:rRNA from 1 species